rnacentral:rRNA from 1 species
GACGGGGCCCGCACAAGCAGCGGAGCGUGUGGUUUAAUUCGAUGCAACGCGAAGAACCUUACCAGGGUUGACAUGCUUAAAGUAGAAACUCGAAAGAGGGACGACCUGUAUCCAAUCAGGAAAUUUGCACAGGUGCUGCAUGGCCGUCGUCAGCUCGUGCCGUGAGGUGUUGGGUUAAGUCCCGCAACGAGCGCAACCCCGCCGUUAGUUGCCAGCGGUUCGGCCGGGCACUCUAACGGGACUGCCCGCGAAAGCGGGAGGAAGGAGGGGACGACGUCUGGUCAGCAUGGCCCUUACGGCCUGGGCGACACACGUGCUACAAUGCCCACUACAAAGCGAGGCCACCCGGCAACGGGGAGCUAAUCGCAAAAAGGUGGGCCCAGUUCGGAUUGGGGUCUGCAACCCGACCCCAUGAAGCCGGAAUCGCUAGUAAUCGCGGAUCAGCCAUGCCGCGGUGAAUACGUUCCCGGGCCUU